rnacentral:rRNA from 1 species
GACGAACGCUGGCGGCGUGCUUAAUACAUGCAAGUCGACUGAACUUAAGGUAGCAAUAUUUUAAGGGAGGUGGCGCACGGGUGAGUAACACGUAGGUAAUCUGCCUUUAGGACUGACAUAACCCAGAGAAAUCUGGGCUAAUAUCAGAUGAUGCAGCGGCUCGACAUCGAGACAGUUGUUAAACCUUCGGGGCCUAGAGAUGAGCCUGCGUCUGAUUAGGUAGUUGGCGGGGUAAUGGCCCACCAAGCCAUCGAUCAGUAGCUGGUCUAGAGAGGAUGAUCAGCCACACUGGAACUGAGACACGGUCCAGACUCCUACGGGAGGCAGCAGUAAGGAAUAUUGCUCAAUGGCCGAAAGGCUGAAGCAGCAACG